GCGGAAGAGAUAAGUGCUGAAAGCAUCUAAGCACGAAACUUGCCCCGAGAUGAGUUCUCCCUGACCCUUUAAGGGUCCUGAAGGAACGUUGAAGACGACGACGUUGAUAGGCCGGGUGUGUAAGCGCAGCGAUGCGUUGAGCUAACCGGUACUAAUGAACCGUGAGGCUUAACCUUACAACGCCGAAGCUGUU
rnacentral:rRNA from 1 species